GACGUAGGGCGCGAGCAUUGUCCGGAUUUAUUGGGCGUAAAGAGCUCGUAGGCGGCUUGUCGCGUCGAAUGUGAAAACUCGGGGCUCAACUCCGAGCUUGCAUUCGAUACGGGCAGGCUAGAGUUCGGUAGGGGAGACUGGAAUUCCUGGUGUAGCGGUGAAAUGCGUAGAUAUCAGUCGGAACACCGGUGGCGAAGGCGGCUUCUUGGGCCCUACCUGACGCUGAGGCGCGAAAGCCAGGGGAGCGAACGGG
rnacentral:rRNA from 1 species